CCCCCCUAGCCAGACUGAGGCUUGAACGGGAGCGAGCGCGCGUGCGCGAGCUCGCGCGGAUUCUGCGUGCCGGAGGGGCGGGGCAGAGCGUGCGCCCGCAGCGGCCACGAGCCUCUCGCGCCUGCUCCGCUGGACCGAGGAGCGCGCUCCCACCCUCACGGCGCUGGUCCUCGAGCGCGUCCCGAUUCUCACGAGAGGAGACCUUCUGAAUCGUCCAGCGGCACAAUAGCCACGCCUUCUCUCGGCCCUGCGGACAGCGUGGGGGCGUGGUUUGGACGGGACUCGGCUGUAACGGGCGUCAGGUUUGACCAACGAAUGCACAGAUAGGGGUGGCAUGGCUUAGUACCCAAAAGAGCACUUUGGCCUGCAAUUUCUCCCACAGCAGAAAGUGAGAGCAUGUGAGUGAGUGUCCAGCUUCCCCCGCUAUGGGAGACACUGCCAAAGAGGCCCACCGUUUUCUUACCCCAUCUGGAAUCCUGAGCCAGAUAAAGACUGGAGGAGGUUACCACUUCUUCAAAUGCCAAGACAGUAAUCCAACACUUCAAGGAACAUGAAAAACCAAGGAACUAUGAAACCACCAAAGGAACACAAUAAUUUUUCAGGAACCAACCCAAAAGAAAGGGAGAUCUAUGUUUUGAAUAAGACAAAAUUCAAAAUAGUGGCUUUAGGGAAGCUUAGUAACCUGCAAAGAAACAAAGAAAAACAAUUAAAAAAAAUCAGAAAACAACACAUGAACAAAAUGAGAAGUUUAACAGAGAGACAGAAAUCACAAAAGAGCUAAACAGAAAUUGUGGAGCUGAAGAACACAAUGAAUGAAAUGAGAAUUGUAAAAGCAAACAUCAACAACUGACUUGAUAAAAAGAAAGAAUCUCAACUAGAAGACGAAUCACUUCAAUUGUCUAUUCAGAGAUCAACAACAACAAAAAGAAUGAAAAGGAGUGAAGAAAGACUACAUGGAUUAUGAAAUACCAUCAACUGAAACAAUUUCUGCAUUUUGGGAAUACCAGAAGGAAAGGAGAGGGAGGAAGGGGCAGAAAACUUAUUUAAAGAAAUAAUGACUGAGGGGGUGCCUCGGCGGCUCAGUCAGUUAAGCAUCUGCCUUCGUCUCGGGUCAUGAUCCCAGGAUCCUGGGGUCAAACACCGCAUUCAGGUCCCUGCUCAGGUCCCUGCUCGGCGGGGAGUCUGCUUCUCCCUCUGCCUGCUACUCCCUCUGCUUGUGCUCUCUCUCUCUCUGACAAAUAAAUAAAUAAAAAUCUUGAAAGAAAAGAAAAGAAGCUCAUAGGUCCCCAAACAGAUUCAACCCAAAGGUAUCUUCUACAAAUACAUUAUAAUAAAAGUCUUAAAUCGAAGAGAAAAUAUUAAAAGCAAAAAAAAAAAAAUCUCUUCACAUACAAGGUAAAUUUCAUAAGGCUAUCAGUGUCAUUCUCAGCACAAACCUUGCACACCAGGACAGAAUAGAUGAAAAAUCAAAGUACUGAAAGUAAAACACCAAGAAUACUUCACCCGGCAAAGCUGUCAUUCAGAAGUGAAGGAGAGAUAAAGAAUUUCCCUGACAAGUGCAGUCUGAGCGAGUUAAUCAUCUCUGGAUCUGCCAUAAAGGAGUUCCUCAAGCUGAAAUGAAAGGAUGCUAACUACUGACAUGAAAAUAUAUAAAAAAGUAAAAUAUAUUGGUAAAGGCUGUUCCACAACCCACACAGACUGAACUCACUUGGACUCACCUAAUGGUUUUGGACUGAACCGUUCAGGAAGAAAAAAAGGAAGAAAGGAUAGAAGGAAGGCAAGAAGGAUUGAAGGAUGGAAGGAGAAGGGAAGUCAUCUCUGCCCCCAGUGUGGGACUAGAACUCACAACCCCAAGAUCAAGAGUCGCAUGCUCUACUGACUGAGCCAGCCAGGUGCCCCUUCUUUGUGUUCUGUAUGUAAAUGUUAUUUGUGUUUAAACAGUUUUAUUGUUUCAUUAGUCAGUAUACCUCCACAAAUAAUACACCACAGUCCUACCUCUUGAUAAUUUUGGCUUUUCUUGACAAAACAAAACCAAAAACAGUAAAGUUUCUUUUGUCAUAUUACGGUGAAAAAUAAUAAAAUUUCCUCUUCUAAUUUAGCUGAUAAUAUUAAACUGUGUAUAUGGUUUAAGACUUAAUUAAAAAUUUAAAUGAUUAUCAAUUUAGGAUCAGCUUCACUGGGUAGUUCUGGCACAGAAUCUCUCAUGAGGAGGUUGCAGUCAAGCUGUCAGCUGGAACUCAGUCAUCUGAAGCCUUGACUAGAGCUAAAGGAUAUGCUUCUGGGAUGACUCAUGCAUAUAGCCGUGGGCAGGAAGUCCUAGUCCCCUGCCUCAUGGAUCUAUUCACAGGGGUGUUUGAGUGUCCUCAUAACAUGUCAGAGGAUUCCCUCCACAUCAAGUGAUCUAAGAGAGACAACAAGGAAAGUUGUGAUUCCCUUCAUGACUAAGUCUCAGAAAUCACAAACCGUCAUGCCUGCUAUAUUCUGUUCAUUAGAAGUGAGUCAACAGGGAUGCCUGGGUGGCUCAAUCACUUAAGCUUCUGC